CCGGGAACUCAAAGGAGACUGCCAGUGAUAAACUGGAGGAAGGUGGGGAUGACGUCAAGUCAUCAUGGCCCUUACGACCAGGGCUACACACGUGCUACAAUGGCGCAUACAAAGAGAAGCGACCUCGCGAGAGCAAGCGGACCUCAUAAAGUGCGUCGUAGUCCGGAUUGGAGUCUGCAACUCGACUCCAUGAAGUCGGAAUCGCUAGUAAUCGUGGAUCAGAAUGCCACGGUGAAUACGUUCCCGGGCCUUGUACACACCGCCCGUCACACCAUGGGAGUGGGUUGCAAAAGAAGUAGGUAGCUUAACCUUCGGGAGGGCGCUUACCACUUUGUGAUUCAUGACUGGGGUGAAGUCGUAACAAGGUAACCGUAGGGGAACCUGCGGUUGGAUCAC
rnacentral:rRNA from 1 species